rnacentral:rRNA from 1 species
UAGUCCACACCGUAAACGCUGUCUACUAGCUGUUUGUGAGUUUAACUCGUGAGUAGCGAAGCUAACGCGCUAAGUAGACCGCCUGGGGAGUACGGUCGCAAGAUUAAAACUCAAAUGAAUUGACGGGGGCCCGCACAAGCGGUGGAGCAUGUGGUUUAAUUCGAUGCAACGCGAAAAACCUUACCUACCCUUGACAUCAUCGGAACUUGUCAGAGAUGACUCGGUGCCUUCGGGAACCGAUAGACAGGUGCUGCAUGGCUGUCGUCAGCUCGUGUCGUGAGAUGUUGGGUUAAGUCCCGCAACGAGCGCAACCCUUGUCCUUAGUUGCCAGCACGUAAAGGUGGGAACUCUAGGGAGACUGCCGGUGACAAACCGGGNGGAAGGUGGGGAUGACGUCAAGUCAUCAUGGGCCCUUACGGGGUGGGGCUACACACGUGCUACAAUGGGUCGGGUACAGAGGGGUUGCGAAGCCGC